rnacentral:rRNA from 1 species
GUGCCAGCCGCCGCGGUAAUACAGAGGGUGCGAACGUUGCUCGGAAUUAUUGGGCGUAAAGCGCGUGUAGGCGGCCAACUAAGUCGACUGUGAAAGCCCUUGGCUCAACCAAGGAAGUGCAGCCGAAACUGGAUGGCUAGAGUCCUGAAGAGGGUGGCGGAAUGCCCAGUGUAGAGGUGAAAUUCGCAGAGAUUGGGUAGAACACCGGUGGCGAAGGCGGCCACCUGGGAAGGUACUGACGCUGAGACGCGAAAGCGUGGGGAGCAAACAGGAUUAGAAACCCUAGUAGUCC